rnacentral:rRNA from 1 species
UACGUAGGGUGCGAGCGUUAAUCGGAAUUACUGGGCGUAAAGCGUGCGCAGGCGGUGAUGUAAGACAGAUGUGAAAUCCCCGGGCUCAACCUGGGAACUGCAUUUGUGACUGCAUCGCUGGAGUGCGGCAGAGGGGGAUGGAAUUCCACGUGUAGCAGUGAAAUGCGUAGAUAUGCGGAGGAACACCGAUGGCGAAGGCAAUCCCCUGGGCCUGCACUGACGCUCAUGCACGAAAGCGUGGGGAGCAAACAGG